UACGUAGGGGGCAAGCGUUGUCCGGAUUUAUUGGGCGUAAAGAGCGUGUAGGCGGUUUGGUAGGUCCGCUGUGAAAACUCGAGGCUCAACCUCGAGACGCCGGUGAAAACCAUCAGACUAGAGUCCGGAAGAGGAGAGUGGAAUUCCUGGUGUAGCGGUGAAAUGACGCAGAUAUCAGGAAGAACACCCGUGGCUAAGGCGGCUCUCUAGUACGGUACUGACGCUGAGACGCGAAAGCGUGGGGAGCGAACAGG
rnacentral:rRNA from 1 species